GACGAACGCUGGCGGCGUGCUUAACACAUGCAAGUCGAGCGGUAAGGCCCUUUCGGGGGUACACGAGCGGCGAACGGGUGAGUAACACGUGGGUGACCUGCCCUUAGCUCUGGGAUAAGCCUGGGAAACGUGGGUCUAAUACCGGAUAUGACUCCAUGACGCAUGUUGUGGGGUGGAAAGCCUUGUGCGGCUAGGGAUGGGCCCGCGGCCUAUCAGCUUGUUGGUGGGGUGANGGCCUACCAAGGCGACGACGGGUAGCCGGCCUGAGAGGGCGACCGGCCACACUGGGACUGAGACACGGCCCAGACUCCUACGGGAGGCAGCAGUGGGGAAUCUUGCGCAAUGGGCGAAAGCCUGACGCAGCGACGCCGCGUGAGGGAUGACGGCCU
rnacentral:rRNA from 1 species